rnacentral:rRNA from 1 species
UGGGGAAUAUUGCACAAUGGGCGCAAGCCUGAUGCAGCCAUGCCGCGUGUGUGAAGAAGGCCUUCGGGUUGUAAAGCACUUUCAGCGAGGAGGAAGGGUAGUGCGUUAAUAGCACAUUGCAUUGACGUUACUCGCAGAAGAAGCACCGGCUAACUCCGUGCCAGCAGCCGCGGUAAUACGGAGGGUGCAAGCGUUAAUCGGAAUUACUGGGCGUAAAGCGCACGCAGGCGGUUUGUUAAGUCAGAUGUGAAAUCCCCGCGCUUAACGUGGGAACUGCAUUUGAA